AACAAGGCGUACCUGCGGACCUGCGGAAGGAUCAUUACCGAGUGCGGGCCCGCUCCGGGCCCAACCUCCCACCCGUGUCUCUUGCGUACUUUGUUGCUUUGGCGGGCCCACCGGGUCACUCCGGUCGCCGGGGGGCGCUAUGCUCCCGGGCCCGUGCCCGCCAGAGCACCCCUGUGAACCCUGAUGAAGAGAGGCUGUCUGAGUCCCACGAUAAUCGUUAAAACUUUCAACAACGGAUCU
rnacentral:misc_RNA from 1 species